rnacentral:sRNA from 1 species
GUUUGAAUUUUAGUAACAUUGUUUUCAAAUCAAUUAUUUUCUAGUGUAAGCUACCCACAGUGGAAGAAUGUAUGCAGUUAGCUGAGACAGCCCAUGCAGAUGACAAUAUAUUUGAAACUGUAAAAUAUUACUUGUUAAGUCAAGAACCUGAAAAAGCCCUUCCUAUUGGUAUUAGCUUUGUUAAAGAAUACAUCAGUAGCUCAGACUGGACUUUGGAUACCAUAUACCCUGUUCUUGACCUACUGAGCUAUAUUCGUACUGAAAAAUUACUCUUGCAUACAUGUACUGAAGCUCGAAAUGAGUUGCUGAUAUUAUGUGGUUACAUUGGUGCAUUACUGGCUAUCAGAAGACAGUACCAAAGCAUUGUUCCAGCACUUUAUGAGUACACAAGUCAGCUAUUAAAACGUCGGGAGGUGUCAGUACCUUUAAAAAUUGAAUAUCUUUCUGAGGAAUUGGAUGCAUGGAGAGCUUGCACACAGUCCACC